GCUCGCUUGGACAGAACAUAUACUAAAAUUGGAAUAAUACAGAGAAUAUUAGUGUGGCCCCUGCUUGAGGAUUGCACGCUAAUUUGUGAAGUGUUCCAUAUUUUU